UUUUACUGAUGUGCAAGAAUGUUAUCGGAUUUUGAUAUGAGAUACAUGUACCAUUUUGUACUUUUAUUUAUGUGGAUUAUUUGUGUUUCUUGCAGUUGCUACAAACAAUACCAUAAAAAUGUUUCUGACGAUUGCAUUUAUAAUUUCUUUUUGAAUGGAACUGUUUGUCAAGAAUGUCCAGCUGGGUAUUUUGGAAAAAACUGUUCAAUGCAGUGCAUCCCUCCUGAUUAUGGAUGUUCGUGUACUCAGCAAUGUAGCUGCCCAGUAUGCCAUCAUAUUCUUGGAUGUAUUUUUACUACGAAGUCCGCGAGUACUGAUCUAGAAUACAAAAAAGAGGGAAAUGCAGAACCACAAGGAACUUCAUGUAUGAACUCUCAAACUGUUUCCACCAACUUGAUUAUCAUUUUAACUGGAGUUGUGAUUACACUUUCAAUAUUUUCUCAAUACUAGAUGUUUUACGCAAACAUUGUUCGUCAGAAUAUGUCAAUGGAAUAUGUAACAAAAAUGUCGAGGACGAUUUCCCAGAAAUUGAGUCUGUUUAUCAUGAAAUGGAUUAGAUCUGCAUUCCAAAAGGCUCCUCAGUAUGAUAUUUUCUGAACUACACUCAGUAUACCUGAGUUUGACACCACCUGCGCCAUAUGUGUACUAAAAAUAUUAUUUUAGUUUGAGAUAUUUAUAAUUUUGAAAUGACAAAAAUUGUAUAUUAUAAUGCAACAAAUUACCAAUAUAUAUAUAUAUCACCCCGUUAGUGCUUCUUUGCAAAACAUUUAGCUUAUUAGAUAAAAUAUUUUAAUGUUGAAAAGGGAAUAGUGUUAUUCUGAUAUUGAAAAAUUACGUCUCAAUGGCGUUAAAUUGUUAAUUCAAACAGAACCUAACAAUACUGCUCCGGAAAAUAAUGUCCGCCGGUUUUGCGUCGGGAAUUUGAUAAUCCCUUAGCUCAAGGAAAUAUUUAAUUGUGAAUUAAAAAGGAAACUUUUUUUUUUUAUUGAUUAACAGUGCUUUUCACAGAUAUUUAAACUUUUUAUUUCCUUUUUGAAAUUUCGGAAAUUUGAAAACCUUGACGAAAAACAUUCACUUUUAAUGCCUGAGUCUGUAUUACUUAACCUUUUUUUUAAUUAUUUUCCUCUUCUUUUUGAAGUAGGUAAAAGUACAAUAUUAACCAAAUUUGAAGACUUGAUCAUAUUGUAACUGUAUUGAGGAGCAAAUUCACACUUAUUCAUUUGCCUUUUGGUAUACUAUAAGUUACAUAAAAUGAACGAUUUAAAAAAAAAAAUUGUAUUAACAAAUGUUCUAAGUCUCUUAACGUUGUAUUUUUAGAAAUAUUUGUUGUGCAACUUUGAUCUUUUGAUUCAUGUAGUGAUUUUUCGUGCAAUUUGUCGAUUUUAAAUAAAAGCUUUAGACCAACAUAGCAGCACUCUUCUGUGAAGGAGGCUAGGUAGUCAACAAAUUAGCCAUCAAACUUUCUGUAAGUUUUAGAUACAUUUAUGAUUUAUUUAGCUAUUAACUAUUUUUUAGUAAGAGAAACAUCAUAUGCUUUAUCAUUCAAAUCUGAGUGAUUUUCAACUGUUUAUACAUGUAUAGAGCUCUUCUUUAAAAGAAAAUCAAUAGAGUCUAAAAUGGUCACGAAAAAUUAGUCCUCUAAAUUUGAA